rnacentral:rRNA from 1 species
UGGUGGGGUAUAGCCUACCAAGACUUUGAUCAAUAGCUGAUUUGAGAGGAUGAUCAGCCACAUUGGGACUGAGACACGGCCCAAACUCCUACGGGAGGCAGCAGUGGGGAAUCUUGCACAAUGGAGGAAACUCUGAUGCAGCGAUGCCGCGUGAGUGAAGAAGGCCUUUGGGUUGUAAAGCUCUUUCGUCGGGGAAGAAAAUGACUGUACCCGAAUAAGAAGGUCCGGCUAACUUCGUGCCAGCAGCCGCGGUAAUACGAAGGGACCUAGCGUAGUUCGGAAUUACUGGGCUUAAAGAGUUCGUAGGUGGUUGAAAAAGUUGGUGGUGAAAUCCCAGAGCUUAACUCUGGAACUGCCAUCAAAACUUUUCAGCUAGAGUUUGAUAGAGGAAAGCAGAAUUUCUAGUGUAGAGGUGAAAUUCGUAGAUAUUAGAAAGAAUACCAAUUGCGAAGGCAGCUUUCUGGAUCAUUACUGACACUGAGGAACGAAAGCAUGGGUAGCGAAGAGGAUUAGAUACCCUCGUAGUCCAUGCCGUAAACGAUGUGUGUUAGACGUUGGAAAUUUAUUUUCAGUGUCGCAGCGAAAGCGAUAAACACACCGCCUGGGGAGUACGACCGCAAGGUUAAAACUCAAAUGAAUUGACGGGGACCCGCACAAGUAGUGGAGCAUGUGGUUUAAUUCGAAGAUACGCGCAGAACCUUACCAACACUUGACAUGUUCGUCGCGACUUUAAGAGAUUAAAGUUUUCGGUUCGGCCGGACGAAACACAGGUGCUGCAUGGCUGUCGUCAGCUCGUGUCGUGAGAUGUUGGGUUAAGUCCCGCAACGAGCGCAACCCUCACUUUUAGUUGCCAUCAUUUAGUUGGGCACUCUGAAAGAACUGCCAGUGAUAAGCUGGAGGAAGGUGGGGAUGACGUCAAGUCCUCAUGGCCCUUACGUGUUGGGCUACACACGUGCUACAAUGGUAUUUACAACAGGAAGCAAGACGGCGACGUUUAGCAAAUCCUCAAAAAAUACCUCAGUUCGGAUUGCACUCUGCAACUCGAGUGCAUGAAGCUGGAAUUACUAGUAAUCGUGGAUCAGCGUGCCACGGUGAAUGCGUUCCCGGGUCUUGUACACACCGCCCGUCACACCAUGGGAGUUGGUUCUACCUUAAGGCAAGGUUUCAAACCCUUGACCACGGUAUAGUCAGCGACUGGGGUGAAGUCGUAACAAGGUAGCCGUAGGGGAACCUGCGGCUG